AAAGCUCGUAGUUGAACCUUGGGCCUGGCUGGCCGGUCCGCCUCACCGCGUGCACUGGUUCGGCCGGGCCUUUCCCUCUGGGGAACCUCAUGCCCUUCACUGGGUGUGAUGGGGAACCAGGACUUUUACUGUGAAAAAAUUAGAGUGUUCAAAGCAGGCCUAUGCUCGAAUACAUUAGCAUGGAAUAAUAGAAUAGGACGUGUGGUUCUAUUUUGUUGGUUUCUAGGACCGCCGUAAUGAUUAAUAGGGACAGUCGGGGGCAUUAGUAUUCAAUUGUCAGAGGUGAAAUUCUUGGAUUUAUUGAAGACUAACUACUGCGAAAGCAUUUGCCAAGGAUGUUUUCAUUAAUCAGGAACGAAAGUUAGGGGAUCGAAGACGAUCAGAUACCGUCGUAGUCUUAACCAUAAACUAUGCCGACUAGGGAUCGGACGGUGUUAUUUUUUGACCCGUUCGGCA
rnacentral:rRNA from 1 species